GAUGAACGCUGGCGGCGUGCCUAAUACAUGCAAGUCGAGCGAACGGACGAGAAGCUUGCUUCUCUGAUGUUAGCGGCGGACGGGUGAGUAAAACGUGGAUAACCUACCUAUAAGACUGGGAUAACUUCGGGAAACCGGAGCUAAUACCGGAUAAUAUUUUGAACCGCAUGGUUCAAAAGUGAAAGACGGUCUUGCUGUCACUUAUAGAUGGAUACGCGCUGCAUUAGCUAGUUGGUAAGGUAACGGCUUACCAAGGCAACGAUGCAUAGCCGACCUGAGAGGGUGAUCGGCCACACUGGAACUGAGACACGGUCCAGACUCCUACGGGAGGCAGCAGUAGGGAAUCUUCCGCAAUGGGCGAAAGCCUGACGGAGCAACGCCGCGUGAGUGAUGAAGGUCUUCGGAUCGUAAAACUCUGUUAUUAGGGAAGAACAUAUGUGUAAGUAACUGUGCACAUCUUGACGGUACCUAAUCAGAAAGCCACGGCUAACUACGUG
rnacentral:rRNA from 1 species